UACGAGGGGGGCAAAUGUUGUUCGGAAUCACUGGGCGUAAAGGGAGCAUAGGCGGGUUCUUAAGUAAGGUGUUUAAUCCCGGGGCCCAACCCCGGACCGGCACUUUAAACUGGGAAUCUUGAAUAGUGGAGAGGUCAGUGGAAUUGGGGGUGUAGCGGUGGAAUGCGUAGAGAUCCCCAAGAACACCAGUUGCGAAGGCGGCUGACUGGACACAUAUUGACGCUGAGGCUCGAAAGCAUGGGGAGCAAACAGG
rnacentral:rRNA from 1 species